GAUGAACGCUGGCGGCGUGCUUAACACAUGCAAGUCGAACGGAAAGGCCCAAGCUUGCUUGGGUACUCGAGUGGCGAACGGGUGAGUAACACGUGGGUGAUCUGCCCUGCACUUCGGGAUAAGCCUGGGAAACUGGGUCUAAUACCGGAUAGGACGAUGGUUUGGAUGCCAUUGUGGAAAGUUUUUUCGGUGUGGGAUGAGCUCGCGGCCUAUCAGCUUGUUGGUGGGGUAAUGGCCUACCAAGGCGUCGACGGGUAGCCGGCCUGAGAGGGUGUACGGCCACAGUGGGACUGAGAUACGGCCCAGACUCCUACGGGAGGCAGCAGUGGGGAAUAUUGCACAAUGGGCGCAAGCCUGAUGCAGCGACGCCGCGUGGGGGAUGACGGCCUUCGGGGUGUAAACUCCUUUCGCUAGGGACGAAGCGUUUUUGUGACGGUACCUGGAGAAGAAGCACCGGCUAACUACGUG
rnacentral:rRNA from 1 species